UAAGGAAUAUUGCUCAAUGGCCGAAAGGCUGAAGCAGCAACGCCGCGUGAAGGAUUAAGGGAUUUUUCUUGUAAACUUCUGUAAGAGGGGAAAAAUAUCCCGGUUUACCGGGAUUGAUUGUACCUUCAGAGUAAGCCCCGGCUAACUACGUGCCAGCAGCCGCGGUAAUACGUAGGGGGCAAGCGUUGUCCGGAUUUACUGGGUGUAAAGGGUGCUCAGGCGGGUUUGUAAGUCAGAGGUGAAACUCCGAAGCUUAACUUCGGAACUGCCUUUGAUACUGCAAUCCUGGAGUUUGAGAGAGGCGAGUGGAAUAUCUGGUGUAGCAGUGAAAUGCGUAGAUAUCAGAUAGAACACCAAUGGCGAAGGCAGCUCGCUGGCUCAAUACUGACGCUAAAGCACGAAAGUGUGGGUAGCAAACAGG
rnacentral:rRNA from 1 species